AACCAUGUGCAUAUAAUACUGACAAUACAAAUACUCAUAAUAUUUUCGUCUUACACCUCAAAAUGUUUAUACACAACCUGCAUAUUAAACUUUGUACUAAUUUCUUGGAGGAAUUUAUCAUGGUCCUCUAAAAACUUGUGCAUGGUUACACCAUGCACUUUUAACCUAUAGUAGCAGGUUUUACAGGUUUAAAAAAAAAAAAUUACAAUAAUAAUAGCACUAAUCACCAACCUCUCUCCCCUCCACCACCAUCACCCAGAACCCACCCACCACCAUCACCACCACCGGUGAACAGCGGUGAAGUCGCCGGAGAAGAACUGAGGGUUGGAACCUCUUCUCCUCGUGGUGGUGUUCGUUCACACAACCGCCGUCAUCAACCACCAGCGCAUCUUCUCCGACGAUGAUGAACUCGGAUCUGAGAGGAUGGAACCCAGAUCUGAGACCUUGUGGCGUUGGUUGGUCCUUCUUGACACCCUUCGUCAUCCUAAGAGGGAGAUAAAAGCUUCAAACUUUUCAAACUUACAUCCAUAGAAGCUUCAAAUCGAUCCAGACGUUGAAGGCUUUCGUUGAGGGCUUUUGCCUCCUCCACGCAGAUGACGAGUUACAGCGCGGGGAGGAGGAGACUCAUAUCUUGAUUAUCUUCAACAUUUUUCUUGAACUCGAUUUGCUGUUUUUGGAAAAAUCACUUCCUACUGAAUUUUUAUUGUAAUCGAAUUUUAUCAUCCAAUUUCUGAAACAAUGUAUCUGUUCUCUUUC